rnacentral:rRNA from 1 species
CAGUAGCCGCGGGAAUACGAACUGUCCGAACGUUAUUCGGAAUCACUGGGCUUAAAGCGCGUGUAGGCGGGCCGCCACGUCGGCUGCUGAAAUCCCCCGGCUCAACCGGGGAACGGGCACCGAUACGAGCGGCCUGGAGGGGGGUAGGGGGGACUGGAACUUCCGGUGGAGCGGUGAAAUGCGUUGAGAUCGGAAGGAACGCCCGUGGCGAAAGCGAGUCCCUGGACCCUUUCUGACGCUGAGACGCGGAAGCCAGGGGAGCGAACGGGAUUAGAUACCCCGGUAGUCCCUGUCUCUUAUA